rnacentral:rRNA from 1 species
GAGUUGUGGGCUUUGCCUGCUAUCUCUUACCCAUGUCUUUUGAGUACUUACGUUUCCUCGGUGGGUUCGCCCGCCGAUUGGACAAUUUAAACCCUUUGCAGUUGCAAUCAGCGUCUGAAAAACAUAAUAGUUACAACUUUCAACAACGGAUCUCUUGGUUCUGGCAUCGAUGAAGAACGCAGCGAAAUGCGAUAAGUAGUGUGAAUUGCAGAAUUCAGUGAAUCAUCGAAUCUUUGAACGCACAUUGCGCCCCUUGGUAUUCCAUGGGGCAUGCCUGUUCGAGCGUCAUUUGUACCUUCAAGCAUUGCUUGGUGUUGGGUGUUUGUCUCGCCUUUGCGUGUAGACUCGCCUUAAAACAAUUGGCAGCCGGCGUAUUGAUUUCGGAGCGCAGUACAUCUCGCGCUUUGCACUCAUAACGACGACGUCCAAAAGUACAUUUUAACACUCUUGACCUCGGAUCAGGUAGGGAUACCCGCUGAACUUAAGCAUAUCAAUAAGCGGGGGAAA